ensembl:lncRNA
AUUUCUCUGUCUUGUCUUCCCUGUAUUCCUCCAAGAGCUGACAUGCAAGCAUGAAUAAUCAAGAAAUCUCUAAAUUAUGCCAAUAGGAUAAAAGAAAGAUGAUUAUAAACCAACGUGCUUCAGAAGAAAAGCCAAUGACUGCUGGCCAAGUUUUCAACAGAGCAACAAACAGAGCAAUUUGUUUUAAAGUUUUAAAGAGGACUUGUACUUGUCUGAAAUAGAUGAGCUUCAGAGACAUUGCCAGUCUUUAAAUUUGCAAUGAUGCCGCUAGUGAGGAACUAAGUAAUUGUGGAGCAGUUCUUGUAACUGAAUGUACACCCAUCUACUAAAGAAAGGCUUCACAGUGACAUACAUUCCAGAGGGAACAGCAUCACCAUGCCUCACAGCAAGGGCACCUGCUAUCAUCUGAGGAACGCCUUAAACACGAAGUUCAAAGCUUUACUGUGUUAUUUAGUAUCUUUCUGGAAAGAUCGUCUACUUGGCUAAGAGUAUCAUCAAUUAAAGCCUCGUCAUUUCACACUAUCUUUAUAAGUUAAUAAAUGAGAUUGCUAUUCUGAG